rnacentral:miRNA from 1 species
GCCAGCGCGGUGGUGAUGGUGCC